CCUACGGGUUGUUUUCGUGGGGAAUAUUGGACAAUGGGGGCAACCCUGAUCCAGCCAUGCCGCGUGUGUGAAGAAGGCCCUCGGGUUGUAAAGAACUUUCAGUGAGGAAGAACUCCUGGUGGUUAAUACCCAUCAGGAAAGACAUCACUCACAGAAGAAGCACCGGCUAACUCCGUGCCAGCAGCCGCGGUAAUACGGAGGGUGCGAGCGUUAAUCGGAAUUACUGGGCGUAAAGCGCGCGUAGGUGGCUUGAUAAGCCGGUUGUGAAAGCCCCGGGCUCAACCUGGGAACGGCAUCCGGAACUGUCAAGCUAGAGUGCAGGAGAGGCAGAUAGAAUUCCCGGUGUAGCGGUAAAAUGCGUAGAGAUCGGGAGGAAUACCAGUGGCGAAGGCGGCCUUCUGGACUGAAACUGACACUGAGGUGCGAAAGCGUGGGUAGCAAACAGGAUUAGAUACCCUGGUAGUC
rnacentral:rRNA from 1 species